AACCCGUUAGCUCAGUGGUAGAGCGUGUCCCUCUUCCUCUCUCUUCCGCUACCUAAAAUCCUAAAUCUUCUUUCCGCUCCGCCCCUAAAAUCCAUGGCAAGGCGCUGGUUCGAUUCCAGAACGGGCUA
rnacentral:tRNA from 1 species